rnacentral:rRNA from 1 species
CACGGCCCAGACUCCUACGGGAGGCAGCAGUAGGGAAUCUUCGGCAAUGGACGAAAGUCUGACCGAGCAACGCCGCGUGAGUGAAGAAGGUUUUCGGAUCGUAAAGCUCUGUUGUAAGUCAAGAACGUGUGUGAGAGUGGAAAGUUCACACAGUGACGGUAGCUUACCAGAAAGGGACGGCUAACUACGUGCCAGCAGCCGCGGUAAUACGUAGGUCCCGAGCGUUGUCCGGAUUUAUUGGGCGUAAAGGGAGCGCAGGCGGUCAGGAAAGUCUGGAGUAAAAGGCUAUGGCUCAACCAUAGUGUGCUCUGGAAACUGUCUGACUUGAGUGCAGAAGGGGAGAGUGGAAUUCCAUGUGUAGCGGUGAAAUGCGUAGAUAUAUGGAGGAACACCAGUGGCGAAAGCGGCUCUCUGGUCUGUCACUGACGCUGAGGCUCGAAAGCGUGGGUAGCGAACAGGAUUAGAUACCCUGGUAGUCCACGCCGUAAACGAUGAGUGCUAGGUGUUAGGCCCUUUCCGGGGCUUAGUGCCGGAGCUAACGCAAUAAGCACUCCGCCUGGGGAGUACGACCGCAAGGUUGAAACUCAAAGGAAUUGACGGGGGCCCGCACAAGCGGUGGAGCAUGUGGUUUAAUUCGAAGCAACGCGAAGAACCUUACCAGGUCUUGACAUCCCGAUGCUAUUCUUAGAGAUAGGAAGUUACUUCGGUACAUCGGAGACAGGUGGUGCAUGGUUGUCGUCAGCUCGUGUCGUGAGAUGUUGGGUUAAGUCCCGCAACGAGCGCAACCCUUAUUGUUAGUUGCCAUCAUUAAGUUGGGCACUCUAGCGAGACUGCCGGUAAUAAACCGGAGGAAGGUGGGGAUGACGUCAAAUCAUCAUGCCCCUUAUGACCUGGGCUACACACGUGCUACAAUGGUCGGUACAACGAGUUGCGAGCCGGUGACGGCAAGCUAAUCUCUGAAAGCCGAUCUCAGUUCGGAUUGGAGGCUGCAACUCGCCUCCAUGAAGUCGGAAUCGCUAGUAAUCGCGGAUCAGCACGCCGCGGUGAAUACGUUCCCGGGCCUUGUACACACCGCCCGUCACACCACGAGAGUUUGUAACACCCGAAGUCGGUGAGGUAACCUUUUAGGGGCCAGCCGCCUAAGGUGGGAUGGAUGAUUGGGGUGAAG